UAAGACUGCAACACCCUUCAGAAAGCUGAAGGGCUGUGCUCCCAAUGGACUGCUACUGGAGCCACUGCAGAAAGGAAGUGAUCCAGAAACCAAAUGGAUAGAAGGGAAACUGUGUGAAAUCCUUGAUGACCGAGUCUGAGGCACAAGGUGGAGGAGAGACAGGACAGUACAGGUGGGAAAAAAUAUGGCUUUGGUGGUGACCUUGGAACACUGGAUGGCAGGUUUUUAGUUUUUAGUCAUUCAUUUUUGGAUUUUCACAACAUUAAACAGCUCAGUGGGACAUCAGCAGGAGGUCUAGAUGGAUUACAGCUUUUCUAUGAUCAGAGAGAGCCGCUACAGCAAAUGUGAGACGUGGAACAAUCUUCUCAAUCAGAGAUGCCAGAUUUCAGAAGACAAUUUUAUAUUUAGUGUAUAUAUUUGAAAAAUGGGCAGAUCAUCUAAUAGCAGUAGCAUGAUGUCUCAGAGACUGAUAUGUAUUUUAAAUCUAAUCAUAUCUGGUUUUCUCAAUGCAUCAAAGAAAUGGCAGCAUUUUAUAUAGAAAUCACCUGUUAUUUCCUGUAUCAAUAAACCUUUCAUUAUUAUUCUUCCCAAAUUCACCUUUUAGGAUCUAAGUAUGAAUAAACAAUAUUUAUUCACCUACACCACUGAAAAUUCCAUAUGUUACAUCACAACAGUGUCUAAAUCACUCAUGCCAUAUUGCUAAUGAAUAAUAAAAGGGCACUUAACAUUUUUUCCUCCUGUUAAUAACAUUCUAAAAGCAAACCUUGUUGCCUUUUGUCUUGGGAUGGUAAUGCCAACCCUGUAAGGCAUUGAGUGUCAACUCCCACUGACUCUAA